GAACCGCGGUAGUGCAGUGGUCAGCACACGUGUCCGGAAAGGGUAGAACGCGGGUUCAACUACCGCUCCUGGUUCA